rnacentral:rRNA from 1 species
UACGGAGGGUGCAAGCGUUAUCCGGAUUUACUGGGUUUAAAGGGUGCGUAGGCGGGUUGAUAAGUCAGUGGUGAAAUACUAUCGCUUAACGAUGGAACUGCCGUUGAUACUAUCAAUCUUGAAUACAGUGGAGGCGGGCGGAAUGUGUCAUGUAGCGGUGAAAUGCUUAGAUAUGACACAGAACACCUAUUGCGAAGGCAGCUCGCUACACUGUUAUUGACGCUGAUGCACGAAAGCGUGGGGAUCAAACAGG